UCAUAUGUUUCCCUAAAAUGUCAUCAAUUACAAAAUUAAUUAAAAUUGAAAUCUUACCGGGGGGUGUGCUUUGAGGACACACUCCCACGCUGUGUUCUAGGAGGGCUAGAGUAGAGUUUUAGAAGAGAUGGGCUUUGCCAUCAGGCUAAAUGACCGUUUUCACAGUAAAAAUGCAUCAUACAUUCCCAGUGAGGCCAUGUCCGAAUGGGGCUGGAUAGGCUGUGGGAGUGAGUAUGUCAAAAGUUUCCCUGGAGUCAGAAGAAUUCUAGACAGAAAUAACAGGAGGCACUGGGGUCAUUAAAUGUCCUGUCUGCACAAAGGCCUUAUACCUAAGAGGGAGAAGGAGAGUUACAGAUAGGAAAUGAGAAUUUUUAAUGGCCAUUUUGAAUGUUUUUUAAAAUAUCAUUGCAUUGUCUAUCCUAUUGCUAAGCUUCAUAGUAAAGGAAAUAACCACUGCUGUUGUCCACUGACUCUGUUUCUCUGGGCGCUUCUUAUCUAGGGAUCAACAGUGAGAUCCACCUCCUGGGAAACAAGAAACCUUCAGCAAAUGCCCUGUUCUGUGUCACAUCUGCAUGGCCUUUUGAGGAACGGCUAAAUGACACCCCAACUUCACAGUAUUAUGCAUUGUCAUUCAGAAUACAGAUAUUUGUUUUGAGUGUGCCUCCCUGUAGGUGGGCUGUACCUCCUGUCUGUGCGGCUCUGUAAUGCCAGACCUGCAAUGUCCCCAAUGAAACCUGUUUUAUGAACCUGGGUCUAUUUGUGGAUUAGAGUUGCAGUGGAUCUGUAUAGAUUCUGCAGAAGUGGUGUAGUCUCAGCCACUGCACAAAUGUCAAGCCUCUCUGCUGCCAUGAUCCCCAUUAUGAGUCAUGGACUCACCCUCUGAAACUGUAAGCCUCUAUAAACAUUUUCUUCUAUAAGUUGCCUUGGUCAUGGUCUCUCCUCACCAACAGAAAAGUAACUAAAACGGCUUGUUUACUUGGCGUUGGUUGUUUCACAAAAGGUCUUCAUCUUAUCUUGACUAUUGCAUGUUCCCUACUCACCAAAGAGCAACAUUAAAAACAUUUAUGUAAUUUAUAUAAUGCUUUCCUACACUUACUACUUCAUCUGUUUGUCUGCUUCUUGAGGUAAGGUCUUAGUAUGUAGCCUGGAAUGGCCUUGAACUCCUGCUUCAGCCUCUAUAGUACUGGGAUGACAGUCAUGUGCCACCAGACCCAGCCUUACUUUUCAUCCUUUCCCUAAGGUCAAAUUCCCUCCUUUUCCCUUCCAAGCAGAGUCUCAGCCUCACUCUAGCUGUGCCCUCAGCAGAGUGCCCAACUACAGUUCAAAUCUUCUAACCCAACCAGGGCAACUCAAUUUCCACUUAGAAAUUUGUCAAGGAACACAUGUGACCAACUUUGAAUGCAAUUCAAGGGAACCGGCUUGAAAGUUUAAGGGAAUUUCCCUUUGGUAAGUGCAGCACACAAAGAGAACAGCUUUUUGGAGUUGCGCCUGUCCUGGU
rnacentral:lncRNA from 1 species